rfam:Bombyx mori DNA, contig: Bm_scaf280_contig42257, strain: p50T/Dazao, build 2, whole genome shotgun sequence.
UUAACUUAAAUUUGAAUAGAGUUGGAACAUUUGGCUACGUUUGCCGCUAGGGGCGCUGUUCCAACUGCAUACAAAGUUGAGUUA